CCCCUGUAGUUCAGUUGGUAAGGAAUCUGCCUGCAAUGCAGAAGACCCAGGUUCGAUUCCUGGAUCAGGAA
rnacentral:tRNA from 1 species